rnacentral:lncRNA from 1 species
GUUAUAAGAGUAAGGAGAGGCAUAAAAUACAUAAAAAUAGGUACUAAACUUCAGGCAGAUAUAAAUCUGAAACAAAAUCACUAUUCCAUUGCCUUUUGGAGUGAUUUCGAGCUUCAAAAACCUCAAACCAAAGGUUCAGCUUGUUUAAGGAUAGAAAUGGUUUAAGUUUCCUGAUGAUCCAUGGUUCAAGAAUCCCUUAAGGUUUAUCUCAAGUUAAAUUUGGGUCAUUAAUGUUGAUUUUUGUUUGUUCACUGAUUCUGCUACCUGAAAACAACUCCUGGGCUGCUUGACUUCGUUUUCUGGGUAUAAAAAUCGAUCUGAUUGCUGCUGUGUGCUAUUGACUAACUAGCUGACUCCAACUUUACUUCUUCUGUGUCAAUUUCCAGUACAC